CGGGGUGCACCAGGCGCGAAAACUUUGCAAUGCGGGAAACCGUGACAAGGGAACUCUGAGUGCCCGUUAAAUCGGGCUGUCCAUCGGUUUAAAUAACCGGUGAAGAAAGGGCCGGGCAAGACCGGUGCCAGCCGCCGCGGUAAUACCGGCGGCUCGAGUGGUGGCCACUAUUACUGGGCUUAAAGCGUUCGUAGCUGGUUUGUUAAGUCUCUGGGGAAAUCUUCCGGCUUAACCGGAAGGCGUCUCAGGGAUACUGGCAGACUAGGGACCGGGAGAGGUGAGAGGUACUCCAGGGGUAGGAGUGAAAUCCUGUAAUCCUUGGGGGACCACCUGUGGCGAAGGCGUCUCACCAGAACGGCUCCGACAGUGAGGGACGAAAGCUGGGGGAGCAAACCGGAUUAGAUACCCGGGUAGUCCCAGCUGUAAACGAUGCGCGUUAGGUGUAUCGGUGACCACGAGUCACCGAGGUGCCGAAGAGAAAUCGUGAAACGUGCCGCCUGGGAAGUACGGUCGCAAGGCUGAAACUUAAAGGAAUUGGCGGGGGAGCACAAGGGCGAUUCGCG
rnacentral:rRNA from 1 species